GAGGGCAAGUCUGGUGCCAGCAGCCGCGGUAAUUCCAGCUCCAAUAGCGUAUAUUAAAAUUGUUGCAGUUAAAAAGCUCGUAGUUGAAUUUCAGCUGCUCCGCACUUUCUUCCCGUUAUGGAGGUUGUGCGCCGUGGCUUAUUUCGGACUGUGUUAUGCACUGUCCGGAUGUUUACUUUGAGAAAAUUAGAGUGCUCAAAGCAGGCUUUUGGCUUGAAUAGUUUAGCAUGGAAUAAUAAAGUAGGACUUUGGUUCUAUUUUGUUGGUUUUAGGUACCAAAGUAAUGGUUAAUAGGAGCAGUUGGGGGAAUUCGUAUUUAACUGUCAGAGGUGAAAUUCUUAGAUUUGUUAAAGACGAACUACUGCGAAAGCAUUUGCCAAGGAUGUUUCCAUUAAUCAAGAACGAAAGUUAGGGGAUCGAAGACGAUCAGAUACCGUCGUAGUCCUAACCAUAAACUAUGCCGACUAGAGAUUGGAGGUCGUCAGUUUUUACGACUCCUUCAGCACCUUGAGAG
rnacentral:rRNA from 1 species